GACGAACGCUGGCGGCGUGCUUAACACAUGCAAGUCGAACGAAGCACUUAUGACAGAUUCUUCGGAUGAUGGAUUAAGUGACUGAGUGGCGGACGGGUGAGUAACGCGUGGGUAACCUGCCUCAUACAGGGGGAUAACAGUUAGAAAUGACUGCUAAUACCGCAUAAGCGCACAGUACUGCAUGGUACAGUGUGAAAAACUCCGGUGGUAUGAGAUGGACCCGCGUCUGAUUAGCUAGUUGGUGGGGUAACGGCCCACCAAGGCGACGAUCAGUAGCCGACCUGAGAGGGUGACCGGCCACAUUGGGACUGAGACACGGCCCAAACUCCUACGGGAGCAGCAGUGGGAA
rnacentral:rRNA from 1 species